rnacentral:misc_RNA from 1 species
CUGCCCUCGAGCGCGGUUAGCUUGCUAUCCGCUGCCCGGUGUUGGGGCGCUACGGUUCAGGGCCUCGUGCCCUGUCGUAGGCCCCGAAAUGAAGUGGCGGUCCCGCCGCGGCGCCCCCUGCGUAGUAGUCUUACAACUCGCAUCGGGACCCGGUGGUGACCAGCCGUCAACCCAUCUUUCUAUGGU